ensembl:snRNA U6 U6 spliceosomal RNA
GAGCACCUCAAUUUGGCAGCACAUGUACUAAAAUUGGAACAAUACAGAGAAGAUUAUCAUGGCCCCUGCUCAAGGAUGACAUGCAAAUUCAUGAAAUGUUCAAUAUUUUU